CGCCAGACUCCUACGGGAGGCAGCAGUGGGGAAUAUUGCACAAUGGGCGAAAGCCUGAUGCAGCAACGCCGCGUGAAGGAAGACGGUUUUCGGAUUGUAAACUUCUGUUCUUAGUGAAGAAUAAUGACGGUAACUAAGGAGCAAGCCACGGCUAACUACGUGCCAGCAGCCGCGGUAAUACGUAGGGAGCGAGCGUUGUCCGGAUUUACUGGGUGUAAAGGGUGCGCAGGCGGCUCUGCAAGUCAGGCGUGAAAGCUAGGGGCUCAACCCCUAAACUGCGCUUGAAACUGUGGAGCUUGAGUGAAGUAGAGGCAGGCGGAAUUCCCGGUGUAGCGGUGAAAUGCGUAGAGAUCGGGAGGAACACCAGUGGCGAAGGCGGCCUGCUGGGCUUUAACUGACGCUCAGGCACGAAAGCAUGGGUAGCAAACAGGAUUAGAUACCCCUGUAGU
rnacentral:rRNA from 1 species